rnacentral:rRNA from 1 species
AUGGUGGCAAUCAAGGCAUUCGAGAACCUGAAUUCAACCCACCUACAAUGUCUCAAUGAAGCCACGAUGAUUCUUAUUCCCAAGAGUGAAGAUGCCGAAGAGGGUAAGGACUAUAGACCAAUCAGUCUCAUUUCUUUAUUUGCAAAAUUAAUAAUGAAGAUUCUUGCUACAAGAACGCGGCCCAAGAUGAAUGACCUUGUGCUGCCCACUCAAAGUGCAUUCAUUAAAGGAAGAUCUUUGCAUGACAAUUUUAUUCUCGCGCAAGGCAUGACUGGGCAGCUGUACCUAAAGAAGAUCCCUGCCCUCCUAUUAAAGCUUGAUGUGCAAAAGGCCUUUGACAGCAUUUCCUGGGAGUUCCUACUUGAAGUCCUCACUGCAAAAGGCUUUGGCCAAAACUAG